ensembl:lncRNA
UUCCACUUAAACAUUAAGUAAAGCUAAACUUGUAAACACAUUGUUCUUGUGAUAACUACAAAUUAAUAUAAUCCAAAAAACUGUUUUUUUUAUUCCAAACAAAUUAUGUACAAUCACAGAUGAUUUGGUAUCAGAUAAACUACAUAUAGCCACAAUUUACCAUCUAUAAAGCAACAGGUAAUAGUAUGUCUACAAUGCUACAUCAAUACUGUACUACAUGGUUUGCUUUGGCAUGUUGUACCAAUAGUGUUUGAUCCUUGCACCAGCAGAGGGCACUCUCUGACUGCCAGUCAGAGAUUUAUGGGCGGACAACUUGGAUGGAAUGCGUUUUAACCUUGAUAUUGCUUAUGUGGGCUACAGUGGUCGCCUUUGUAGGACUUCCAAUUGGUUAAGGAUCAUGUGAUUUCAUCUGCAUCAUAUGUAGGUCAGUCAAUGAAAAAUACUUGUAAUUCAGUGAUUUAGAAAACAUUUGCAACUUCAAAAUGGAGCUUCGGGCUCAAUGGCACUGCCAAUGGCUGCUAACAUGCAGCAUAAUGGGAGCAGUUUAGGGAUGAUCUCUUUAUGCAACUCUGUGGUCGGUUCCCUUUUCACCAGAAAAGGCAGUCACACAAAAACGACAAGAACAUUUUGGAACUUCAACACUUUUCCCAUGCAGCUCAGGGAGAAUAAAAAAACCUAAGUUGUAGAAGAACAAGAUGUAAAACUGAGGGAAUUUCAUACACAUCCUUCUAUGUAAAAAACACUACAUAAAACAUAAAGGGUCUUUCAGGUGGAAAUCACAUGAGGAAACCGGUGAAACGCCUUGCCCUCAGACAGCCUGUAAGGGCUGGACCCGGGUGACCUGGUAUUUAAGCUUUCCACAGCAACAGCAGGGAAUGCAGGAUAGCAACAUCAUGAACAGGAAAGUGGCUGGAAGGAGAGAGAGACAUUUGCGUUUAUGACCUUAUUAUGUAAACAGAGACUAACCUGUUGCUCUGCUGAAAACAUACUGAAAUGUUGCAUGGUACGUUUAAUAACUAAUUACAUUCAUGUUGUUGCAAUCACUGGAAUUUGACUCAUUUGGUCAUACCCAGUUGGAAUGGAAACUAUCAAC